AUGCUGCUGGUGAGCGUGGUGGGAUGUGUUUAUGUUGGAUACAACCUGGAGCCCUGCACCGGAGCAUCUCACUGCCAGGAGAACUGGUGUGGUGGAGGAGAGAAGCGUGAAGCCAUUUCUAUCCCAGCACACCCAGCGGUUUCAGAGAUGACAAGGAAAAUCUUCAUUACCAUUUCAAGAACUGGGAACAAAGAAAAAUCCCGUUCCAGGAGACAGAGGAGGAGAUGCGGGUAGCUGAACAGAAACUGUUGAAGAUUACCAUGGGAAUACACCUGUGAACUUCCAGCUGUGACCGGAGCUCAGCCGCCCCCCUCCCCCUGCUGGACCUUCAGGAUCUGGUGCAGGUGAGUUUGCAGCAGCCAACAAGCAGCUUGACAGGAGCUUUUUCCAGGCCUCUUGGGAAUAGGAGUGUCAGAAGGAAAAGCUCUUGCUCAACUCCUAAUUCAAGAAAGAGAGGUGAACAAAUAAGUAAAAAUAAACUUUACACUUUCUAGGGAUUUAAAAUGGGAUCGUAGGUGCAUGAUCUCAUUUGAGCCUCACGACAAGCAGAUGAGGCUGCACAGUGAAUGAACGCCUCUUACUCUGCCAGCCCAGUAUUCCUUUCUUUUGGAUCCUGACUUUUCCUCCAUUGUGUUCUGGUGGGGCUGCCAGUCACAGGACAGUCCCAUCUCUUGGAUCCCUUCCAUCCCCCACCCCCAACGUUGGACAUGUGGUUCUGGCUAGGCCACUGAAUUCUUUUUGCUGGGGAUUUGAAUCUUAUGGAGAGAUGCCUUGGGGGAGAAAGAUAUUGGAGUUGUGUAAAGAGAAUGCCCAGAGCCUGGCUGUUCAGCUCUUCGUUCCGUUCUGUGAGUUAUUUUAGUUUCCUUCCAGUAAAAUUGCCUGAGUUCGUAUGGGCUCCUGUCUACCAAAGAAACCCAAAUUAUAAACCCCCUUUAGUUUCAAAUUGCCAGGUGUUGAGCCCAGGUCCU